rnacentral:lncRNA from 1 species
GUUUGAUUUGCCUCCUUUCCCUAUCUCUCACCAAUUGAUAAUCUUGAGCACUUGUUUCAAUAGUGGGAACAUUUGGGCUUUCAAUUUCAGUUUUGACUUCACCCGAACCUACUUCACCUUCAUCCGUGUCAACAACAUUUUCAUCAGAUUGUUGUACACCCUCAUCAACAUUUUCAUGUUGAGUGGGAUUUAGCCUUAUUAGCUUCACCUCAUUCCGUGAAGUAGUCUCAUUGUUUUGCUCUUUAGAAUUAUCAAUUUUGUUCUUUAGGCAUGGCAUUUCGGAUUCAUUGAAAUCACAUUUCUACUAUUAAUGAUUUUAAUGCCUUAAACGCCUAACACCCACAACCGGUACCCCUUAACACCUUCCGGGUACCCAAGCAUCACACACUUAGUAGCUCUAGGGUCCAAUUUUCCUUCAACUUGAUGUGCAUAUGCCGCACAUCCACACACCCUAAUAUGAGAAAGGUUUGGGGGUCUUCCCGUCCAAAGUUCCUGUGGAGUUUUAAAUCCAACAGAACUACAUGGAGAUCGAUUUAUAAGAUAAGCAGCUGUACAUACAGCCUCCGCCCAAAAGCCUUUCGCUAAUCCAGAACUGAUUAGCAUACAUCUUUUCAAAUUUGGGACAAGCCUCACAUUCUUUAAUUUCCUGACCAUGCCAUCAUGCAUUCUGAUAGCGAUGUCAUCAAUAUCGAGAACACUUUGAGAGUUAUUAUCGCCCAUAUAUACUUUCCUGGGUUCAAUUUCUUUGUAAUUGUUAAACCAUGAUUUAUUAGGACACAUACGGAAUGUACACCCUAAAUCCAAGAUCCAGUCCUUAUCAACUUCUUCGUCAGACACAGUCAUUACAAGAAGACUGUCUAACUCAGAACAAAUUUCAAAA